UGGUACCCGGUUGUGGUUUCGCUGAUUACAUGGGGAGAUUCGUUAAAAGAUUUCGUAUUCCUUGGAGCAGAUGGGCAUGGGUUUGCUUCUGCUUCUACCGUACUUGCAGUGGUUGGAGGAAAGCUUGAUUUGUUGCGCAUUUCGUGGUUUACUCGACAUCAUAUAGAUUUGUUUCCAGUUUUUGCAUUAAGGAGUUUAGUUUACUUUGGUUUUCUAAAAAUAGAUUGGAUUUGGUCCUGCAGUUUUGACAAGUACCAUAUGCUACAUUUGAUGUUGUCCCUUUUCAAGAACUAUCCCUCUCAAAAUCCAAUUUCGGGAUGUUAAAGCACUGAAGUGGACAGGAAUAUCAUGAUAUUGAAAAAUAUUGAGGGAAGACCUUAGAACAUUUAAGUGCCCGAUUAUGAACGGAAAGCUCCUAUAUUUGCUUUUCCAGAUGAGAGGCAGUGAGUCAAUCGGGUUUACCGUGAAUAGCCCUACUAUCAAAAGCAAUUAUCACCCAUUGUCGUCGCAUUAACAGCGUUGCAAAAGAUGCGCUGGACAGGGACCAGUUUCCAGGAGAAGAGUCACUACACCAUAUACAGGGUG